GACGAACGCUGGCGGCGUGCUUAACACAUGCAAGUCGAGCGUUAAGGCCUUUCGGGGUUCACGAGCGGCGAACGGGUGAGUAACACGUGGGUGAUCUGCCCUGCACUUCGGGAUAAGCCUGGGAAACUGGGUCUAAUACCGCAUAUGACCUCCUAUCGCAUGGUGGGUGGUGGAAAGAUUUAUCGGUGCAGGAUGGGCCCGCGGCCUAUCAGCUUGUUGGUGGGGUAAUGGCCUACCAAGGCGACGACGGGUAGCCGACCUGAGAGGAUGACCGGCCACACUGGGACUGAGACACGGCCCAGACUCCUACGGGAGGCAGCAGUGGGGAAUAUUGCACAAUGGGCGAAAGCCUGAUGCAGCGACGCCGCGUGAGGGAUGACGGCCUUCGGGUUGUAAACCUCUUUCAGCAGGGACGAAGCGCAAGUGACGGUACCUGCAGAAGAAGCACAGGCUAACUACGUG
rnacentral:rRNA from 1 species